GUUCAGAGGAGGGCGGUUGAUAAACCGUUCGUGGCGCCGAGGUGCUCUGGAAAUAACGUUCAGGUCUACUACACCCAGACAUUGGACUCCCAAAGGAUUGUUUACUUGGAACAAAACGAACAAGUUCAGAGUAGGAAACAGCUCAUUUUAUUUGCAGUAAACUCUUAGAUAUCCUACAUGAAGGUGCAUCAUAAAUGGAAGUUGGUGAGUAGGUGACAUCCCAAUUUGACUAAUGGAAAGCCAUAUAAUAAAGUCCCCUAUGUCAUUAAAAGAAAUGCAAGAAAUCACUUUCAAAGGAUGUGUAACCUUGUCCGAAGAUGAACUGGAUUGUAAAGAAAAUCUGCUAUCAGCAUCUCUUUUCAAACUCAAACUUUUGCAAAAAAAUGUGAUAAAGAAACUUGCUGAACAAAUCCCCAGAGGGUUAUAAAUGUCCAUGGAACUGAAGCUCUAUAGGUAACUUGUUCUUAACUAAAGAAUGAUGCAUUAUGGAAAUAUAUACUAUUGCUAAGCUUUGCCAGCAUGAAAUAUAUAUUUGUAAUUACUUCAACUGUAGAUUGAUGAAAUAUUAUGAAGUGACUUUUGCUGUGUAUUUUGCCUAUAAUGGAAAACAUUUGAACGACUGUCCCUUUAAGUAGCACUUUGCUGAUGACUACUUAUGCAACUUGUUUACUUGCUAGAAAUGAAGUGUCUGUCUUUCCUUCAUCUAAUGUCCUUGCUCUGUCUGGUAUAGUUAUGUGGGAAACAAAUGUGCAACAGGUGGCCUGUGUUAUGUGAGAAAUGAGACAAAGAAGUGGUGUCUGUGUGAUAAUUAGGUGGCCUUGCAGAAUGAUCAAAUGAGAUGGUCAUUGUUCGGGGAGGAGUAAAAACAAGAAAAUGUUUUUUCGGAGCCAAACAAGAUAGUCUUGAAGGUCACAAUAACUUGUUUAGUCACAUGUAUAAAUAUUGAGCACAAACUAGCCUGAAGUUGGAAUAGACCCAGGAAAGAAGACCAGAAAAGAAGAAACUCGUGUUCGCCAGAUUGUAACCGCAUCCCCUUGCAGUAAAAUUGAUACUGCCAUCAAAAUAUUUGCAACUCACACAAA